UAACCUCAACUUCACCUCACUCAGGUUUUUAACUCUACUUCAAACCAUACACCAUCCCUUACUCCAUUCUUUCGAAAACCAGAACAUCACUACUUCAUUGCCUUCAUCAUUACUAAUUACCACAAUACUCCAAUUUCAUAAACCUACACAUCACGCACAUACCAGCUACUUCGUACACACUCUCUCACACGUUACAUGUCUCCACUAUAUCAUUUCCUCUCGUAUUCUAACUAUUAAUGGACUGUACUUCCUACACUUUUCUACCUCCAUAACACAUCUCAAAGGAUAAAUUCUUUUACGCUAACCCACAACAAACAAAACUUCCACACACAAUAUAAACCUUCUUUACAAUCUUAUCAAUAACCAAGGGUCGUUCAAGGGUCCCUUUAUUUACUACACUUCACUGUAUUUCACUUCACAAUAGCUAACAACCUCUCCACAAUUGGACUCUUUAUAACUUCCACAAAUUUUAAUACUAACACAUCACACCAGAAAGCCACUCACCAUUACCAACAUCAAGUAUCACCUUCAUCAUCUACAUUUUCAAUAUUUCCUGUUCUCAACAUCAGCACAACUCAUUUGCCAAAUACGGGUACCAAUAAAACUUCUGAUCCUGUCACACAUAAAUACUUCCUCACUAUCAUUAUUCUCCACCACACCUAACUGAAAUAAUUAAUUCUAUGACUUGGGAAAGGGCCACGUCCUCACACACACACACCUCCAUCCUACAUUUCACCUCAUAUCAGGUAUCUCCAUCAUUUCGACACACAUCGUAAAUUAACAUAAUUCCUAUAAUGUUGGAUUUACGUGGGAGCUUCUCGUUCCAAACAACAAUCAGCAUCUGUACCUCAAUGGGAAGGGCCAUCAAUUACACUUUCUGUACACCUUACAUGUACUCCAACUUCCAAUACACCAACAGACUUUCCUUUUCUCUCUGCAUCUGCAAUAGGGUCUUCGAACACCUUCUACUCUCUUCCUAAUUUAAACAGUCACGGGUCUUACACUCAUCACCUGGCUUAUACAAAACUCCAAAAUCUCAAUAAUCCAACUCUCACGAUCAAAUUCCAUAACAGCUCUCAAACAUUACUAACUUGCUAGUCAUUGUUUCUUACGUCUAUACACUCCAACCACACCUAUGUUCAUUCACCUCUAAGAACUCUUGGGACUCAUUCUCACUUUACUUCAACCUAUGCCUUCCUCCAAUCUCUCUUUUAAACAUUUUACCCACAUUGCCUUUAUCAACACAGCAUCACUCACUCUACCCUUGGAUAUACUACCUUCAGUCAGACUUCCCUCUUUUCACAGGGCACUUACGAUUAACUCGCAAACAAUUAUUAUAAAUCAUCCACAUUUCUGCUCAACUCAGGUCUCCUUCUACUGUGCUAUACAUAGUGUGUCAACUGCACAAAUACCUACAUUUACUCUCUUAUCUCCAACAUGCUACCAGCUCACACAAAGGGACAUCUAUGGAUUUAGAAUUGCUUGGGCAAUGGAGGUCUCCAUCUUACACACUUUAAACUCAAUUUCCUGCAAUAUACUGUUUUGACGUGGUUUUCAACUCAUGCACAUCAUCUACAUUUCAGACACUUUGAGAACAAACCUAUAAACCCUUAUUGACCAUCAUAAUUCUUAGGGGAUCUAUCUACAUGGGGAACAAAUAAUAUUUUCAUAACAAUCAAACAAACAUCAAUUGUUUCUCCUUUUUUUUCUAUACUCCCUCUAAAUUCUCUCAUCCUCGCUACCUGAACCAAAGUGAAUUAUUACCAAUUGCAAAGGAUAUUUUACUCUCUGGGACAAAGAUAUUCACCUCUAUGACCAAUUAUUUUGUGAAGUCACACACACACACACACACACACACAUGAACAUACCAACUAGUUCGUCCACAUUCUCUCACACGUAUUACAUGUCACCACUAUAUAAUUUUUUCUCAUACUCUAAAUAUUAGGGGACUGUACUUCCUAAACUAUUCUGCCUCCAUCUCAAAGGGUAAAUUGCCUUACGCUUAGCCAUAACAAACAAAAUAAGCAGACACAAUAUAAACCUUUCUUACAAUGUUUUCAAUAAGCAAGGGCCACGUAAGUGUUCCUUUAUUUACUAGUCUUCACUUCACAAUAGGUAAUAACCUCUGUACAAAUGGACCGUUUAUUAUGUCUAUCAAUUUUAAUACUAACACAAUCCCAUUCCAGAUAGCCACUUUCAUUACCAACAUCAAGCUUCACAUCUUCAUCACCUAUAGUCUCAAUAUUACAUUUCCAACAUCAGUAGAACUCAUAUUUCUAAUAGGGAUGGCAAUAAAAUUACCUAUCCCGUCACAUAUAUAUAGUUCCUUAGAAUCAAUAUUCUUCACUAUACUAAACUGAAAUAAGUGGUUCUAUGGCUCGGGCAAGGUUUUACGUCCUCACACACGCACACUCCAUCUUAAAUUUCACCUCACUUCAGGUAUCUACAUCAUUUCGACAAACAUCGUAAAUUAACAUAAUUUCUAUAAUGUUUGAUUUACGUGGGGGCAUCUCAUUCCAUACAACAACGAGCAUCAAUACCUCAAUGGAAUGGGCCACCAAUUACACUUUCUGUACGCCUUACAUAUACUACAACUUCCACCACAACAACGUACUUCCCUUUUCUCACUGUAUCUGUGAGCUCAUCUUUAAACGCCAUGUAAAUUUUACUCUCAUCAUUUGAUUCAUACAAUGCUCCUAAAAUUCAAUAAUCUAACUCUCAAAAUCAAAUUUUGCAACAGGGCUCUAACAUUUACUACUGACUAGUUGGUUUUUCUUACAUGUAUAGACUAAAUAAACUCCAACCACUCCUAAAUUCAUUCACUUCUUAAUACUCUUGGGACUCAUUCUGACAUCAUUUAAACCUAAGCUUACUAACCAAUCUCUUCUUUAAACAAACAUUGUACUCACAUUGCCUUAUCAACACAUCAUCACUCACUUUACUCUGGGAUAUACUUUCUUUCUUUCCUCAGGUCUCUGUAUCACUCACAGAAUUUUAUUAUAGCAUUAUCCAUUACAGCAUUAUACAUAUCUCUGGUCAACUCAGGUCUCGUUCUACCCUGCAAUAUACACCAUGUCAAUUGGGUCAAUAUCACAUCCAUGGUUUACAUGCUAAUCUCCACCUCUCUCAGCUACUCAAACAAGGGAUGUCUAAGAAUUUUUAGUUACAUGGCACUUGGCAUCCCCACCUCAUCCACUUUAACCUCCAUUCUCAGAAAUUACUCUCCUUUCGGUAUUUCAAUUCAUACACAUCAGCUACAUUUCAAACAUAUUAAGAACAAACCUAUACACCCACAUCAGCCAUUGCUGUUUGGAAAUCAUUCUACACGCAGCACAUAUAAUAUGGUCUUAAACAAACAUCGAAUUUUUCUCUAUUUCCUUCCUAUAUGCAUUUUAAAUUCCGUUACCCUGUUUUCCUCAACAAAAGUGUAAAAACAAAACAGGGUAUUCAUAGUUCUCUCUAGCAACUGCAAAGGCUACUUUUCUCUCAAAGACAAUACAUAUUUACCUAUAUGGCCAAUCAUGCACUUUACCACACUCACUUCUCUAGCUUUACUUGAAUCUAUACACCAUCUCAACCUUCAUCAGUAAAAUUUCUACUUUAUUAGUUCCAUCAUCCCUAAUUACCACAUUUCUCUCAUUUCUUCAACCUCCAUAUCAUGCGCUUAUGAACUAACUUGUCCAUAACCUCUCACAUGAGUCGCCAUUCUCCAGUGGGUCACUUCUUGUUUAACUAAUGAUAGAGGACUAUACCAACAAAACCUUCCUACAUCCAUUUCACACCUCUAAGAGCAAACUGUCUUUCACAAAGCCAUACCAAAACAAAUCAUCAGACCCAUAUAAGACAUGUAUUGGAAUGGUGCAAUCUAUUACUAUACCAAUUACCAUGCAAAGAUCUCAUUACAUGCAAUUCUACACCACACUUUAUUAAAGUAACUACCUAUGGUCAAUUUUUCUAUUGCAAAACUAGAACCAUUCUCUGUAAGGGCCAUAAUAUCAUGUCUCACUUUCCAUUGUUUGUUACACAUAUGGUCUUUAUGCACUCCAAAAUUUCCUAAAUUGGUUCAUUUAGACUACUCUUUCUCACUAGACCUUCCAAAUUGUCUCAUUCUCUUUUCUCAGCACAAUAUUUUAAUGGGCUUCCAUUCAUUAAUCUGUAUAUAGGCUUAAAUGGGUAGUUUUCAUUCAGACACAUUACUCUGUCAUCUCUAUUAACAAUCAUCCUUCCGUUUCAUUCACUACUAAAUCAGGCUUUCAAUUUACCUGUGCUAAAGGUACAACACAUACAGGGGAAAUUAUUUCACAGUGUACUCACCUGAAAAAUCAACUGGCAAAUAUCUCUCUCUCACUUCAUCACUGUUGUUCAUUACCACAUCCCAUUACCUAUUUUUCUAAAUUUUCUCUGCUUUAUCAUAGACCUUUGCACCAUUCUUCACAUCCAAACUAAGUCACCUAUUCAAAUUAAUCAGUUUUACUUGGCCACCUCUAACUUCACUUGGAAUUAUCUCAUGCUCCACGAGAUCUACUUAGCACAUUACUGGACUUUCCUCAGGAUUCAUGCAAUCUACUAAUCCAUCAGUUUUUUUUUCCUAUCUCAUAACAAUACAUAUAUCUAAUAACUUACUUCAUUAAUUCCAUGAUCUGAGCAAGUGAUUUACACACUCAGAUAAAUCCACCUCCAAUUUAAAACCGACCACACACAAGGUAUCUCUGUCAUUUGGACACAUACUUUAAAGCAACAUAAUUAAAUUGGAUCAAGUCUCAUUCUCCACACCACUUCGAAAAUUCUAAUUGUUACGGGGUCGAUGUACAAUACUGUUCUUCAUCCACUUUACAUACCAAAGAAAGGGUGUAUUGUUUUUCACAAAAUCACCUUAUAUUGCCUCAUCUGGCACCAUACCUUCAUUCGCACCAUACCUUCAUUCCCAAACAACAACACAUCACCUUAUAUUGCCUUAUCUGGCACCAUGCCUUCAUUCCCAAACAACAACACAUUUUACUACACUGUGGGUCACUGAAAGAUGUCAUUUCCUUCAACUCAUUUCCUGCAUUUCGAAUACCACAUUUUGCUAUACAAUUGGAUUUCCUAUAACUACCUAUAUUUCCAGUACCAAUCACAAUCUGAACAAUUCCUUUGUAUGUCAAUAAUAAUUUUAAACUUUUUAAUUCGUAACUUAGGAAUGUAAGGAUAUUCUAAAAACCAGCUGAUACUUUUCCGAGUACAACAGAACACUCACAUUUCACUUGGUGAAGCACUUCAACUGUAUUCUUAUAAAUUAGAUAGCAAUGGAGAAACAAAUUCCACAAUUCAUUUAUCCUAAUACAGAUCACCUAAUUUCAGAGAAAGUGCCUUAUGUACAAACUACUUAGUAAUAACUGACAUACAGUGUCCAAAAGCUGUUUCUACAAUUUCCAUGUAAAAACAAGUUAAAAUCAUUUUACUAUAAAUUACCAAAUGGAAACCAACUGCAAAAUUUCUCGUUACUGCAGAGUUCAUAAUUUCACCUAAUAAUGCAGUCAGCAUAGGGAAUCAGACUGAGUCAUAUAUACUCUUUCAUCAAUUUGAUGACUUAACUCGCCUAUACUCACUGCUAGCAGCACCAUAUGAUUUGUAUGUCUGUUCUGAAGUCACCUGAGUUAUUUAGGUAAUUUUAAGAUCUCAAUAUACAUCCUGAAAUAAAUGUACACAGUACUAUCAUAUUUGCUAAUAGAUUGUUUUAAAUUAUAACAGACUAAAUAAGUUAACUUGUUCUAUGCUACAAGUACACAGGCUGUACACUGCAUUGUCAUAUGGGACCAAAUUAAAAAUGAAAACGAUCUAUCGCAACUCUAACAAUAUUCUCAACUACACUAGUUUAUAUGGUAUAGAGUGAUGCAAGUAAGUGCAUCAGUAUACGGAGCGUUUUUGCUGCUUUUGGUCCAAUCAGCUUUAAAACUGGGCAGAUCUCGCCAACAUUUACAAUCCGCAACAUUAAAAUUCAAUUAGCAGGCUCCAAAGGGCUUCUGAUCAUCCAAUCAAGUGAAUUUGCUUUGUGCAACAUUACAAAAACAAAAUAUAAAUUCCCCAUUUAUAUAGAUUAAGAAGAGGGGAAUGGGUAUGUUUAAUGUUAUUACUAAUACAAAUUGAAGAAUUAUUUCCUCUUCAGAUUUUCAGCUAUAGGGUGGCAAAUUUGAGAGUGACUGCUAUUUAGACUCAUGGUUGAGCAGGCCAAAAUGAUGUCUUUUCACUACAAAGAUGAGCACUAACGUUUAUUAAUACAUUUUUGGACCCAGUCUACAGCUUCCGCAGAUUAUUAAUGCAUUAUGAGAAUCUUAAAACUGCCUACAGGUGAAGAAAAAAAUACACACACAGCUGUAUUUGGAGAAAUAAAACUCGAUCAAAACUGUUGUGCCACUCUUCACAGAGUUUAGUUACUCGUUUAUCAUUGAAAGAAGAGGGAUAUUUGCAUUAUUGAUUGUCAUAUUUUUGGGGCUGAAAGGUUCUGACGACUCCAGUGCAUUAAUGCCAAGCACUACAACUAAUAUUUAUAAAACACACAUCUGGUGUCAUCCGAAAUGAAGAAAAUAAUCCGAUGGUAGAUCAUAAUGUACUCGUGUACUGCAAGGGAGCUUAGAGCAAAGUGAAUCAUUGCCAGCCGGUACUGAGCACAUGGUGUUUUUCUAUAAGCUUGUGCUCCAAGCAUUACUUGUGAAUACUGCCUCAUAUAACUUACGACUAGCUUCUCAUUCAAAUUAUUUUACAAACUUAAGCAUUAGUGAAAUUUUUUUUUUCAUCUGUAAAAUGGAAUUAUGAAAUUUCUCACAAUUAAAAAAAAAAUAAAAAAAAUAAAGCAUGGCAACCAGAAUUCAGUCUAGUGGUUAGCCCUGUGCUGUAAAAGUAGGAACUCAUAGGAUAUGAAACUGACAAGAAAGCUGUCAAAGUGGAGGCAAUCACAAAGAUUUCCCAUAAGGCUGGGGGCCACAGCUUUGCCCUCCCCAGGCCUCCCUCUCCAACACCCAACAAUCCACUGAGAAUUAAAACCAUUUAGGGAAUCGCAUAUGAAAGGUUACAAAUACCAUGGUAUUAAUACAAACAUGUUCAUCCACCUGAAUCCAUGCAAAAAAUAUGAAAAGCUGCAGAAGUUCGGUAUAAUUGUUGAAUAUUUAGUUCAUCUACGGAAUCUACUGAUACUGACGAACCUUGUUCUUUUAAUGUAAGCUGGCGAUGUUCUCAAUAAAAGCAGGCUUUGUGAAUAUGUGACACUAUGACAUUUGCAAUCACACUAAAUGCAAAACUUCUGUUUCUGCAUCAAAGUUAAAUAGACCUACUGCUGCUGUAGCCAUGCAAUGAAGCUCCUCAACUGUCACUGUACUUCCACAGACGAUUGAAAUCUCAAUGUUAAAGGUCAAGUAAAAUAGGCUGGUUAUUAAGAUCACAGUGGUCUCAGAAUCUGACAUUCGGCCUGGAGAGCACUGUGCUUACCACAUGCCACUCUUUAUCUGCAUCCAGUGACGCCUGUGGGCUGAGGAUGACGAGGGCCAGUCAGUACUAUUGGGCCUUCAUGGCCUGUUCGGGAGGAGUUUGGGUUUUAAGAUCAUAAGAAAUGACAGAGGCUUCCACUGCUACCUUUCAAGUAUUUCCUCAAAAUAUUCUACUUCUUAAUCAUCCAAUCUUUACUAGACCUACAUCAAAGAACCUAAUCAUCUAUUCUAAAUUAAUGCAGACAAAAAAAUGAGUACCACAGCAGCUGCCAAUUUCUACUCCAGUUAAAUUUCAAAUUCAGUAACUAAUAACUUUCAGGAUACAUAUUUCUCAUACAUCAGCUACUCCAAUAAAUCAUCCUCCCAUCUGAGGAAGUUACUCCACUGACAAUACGUUGCGUACCAUCUUCCACGUAAGAAAAAACAAAGAUGUAAGUAAAGCACCACUAAGUGUUUAGCGCACACACAGCAACCGCAGAUCAUCUUGUUGGCUCAAAAUGGUGCACCUUACUUCUUUCAUAACUCAAUUAUGUUUGCUCUGAAGCACAAAUGACAGUGCCAGAAAAUAUCAAAUAAUUCCAUUCCAUAAACACACAGUUGGGAAAAUUCAAAUGUUAAAGUAUUCCUUUAGCGUACACUGACAAUAUGUUGAGGGGUCCAGCAUUUUAGUGCAAAUCGUUGCUAACCUGUGUUAAGCACCACUACAUUGGAGCUACCGAAGUUCAAAGAAACUAAAUAAAAAACACCUAUCACUCAAUCAUUCAUGAAAGAGACCCAACAUUGUAAUAUAUUUAUAGACUCUCCCACUACAAAUGUUUCAGCUAUGCUAUAUGGUCUUGUAUGAUUUUAAUCCUUUAAUAAUGAGGUUUUUUUUAUUCCUUUCUGUUUAUGCACACUUAGCAGUAAUUUAAAUUAUUUUCAUAUCAUAUCACAAGUUUAGAACCAUAUAAAUUAAACUGAUGACAUAACAUUAAUACCUUAUUCAAUUUAAUUCUAAAAUGACUUUGUCAACAACUGCAAGUAUUUCAUCAAGAAACAAAUUGUCUCUUAAUUUUCCAUUUCCAUUAAUUUUACGAUUCCAAGGUCAUACAGAGACAAAAAAGUGGAACACCUGCCUUUUAAUGGUCGAGGGAAAAAUGUCACUAAAAAUUAAGAAAGGCUUUGGAGGCACUGAAAUGUUUGGUCUCUGAACCUUGUAUUCUCUUACUGUGCACAGACUGAUACUAAAGUCAGUCAUGACUUUGCAUUGUUGUCAGCCAAUUAGAAAGGCAAAGGACCUGGUAACAGUUCUGGCUAUAUUAUACCUGCCACAGUUCAUUUGCUGGACUCACAAAGUUUAUCAAAACUGAAAACUGUACUCAGCAUUGGUACUGGCAUCAGAAGUCAAGUCUCGUCACCUUAAUACAACAUCCCACCAUCAGUUACUUCCCAAAGUCAAUAACAGGCCUAAGUUUUUCUGUAAAUUUACAAAAUUAACAUCAAACACGCCACAUUCACUUUUCAUUUCAAACACACACAGUACAUUGUCCCUCUUUCCGAAUUACUAAAUACGCACUCACUAUUUAUUGGCUCCUUCAUAUACAACUUAUUAACACAUAACUUGCUUAACAUUCUCACUGACCCAAAUGGGUAUGUACUAAUUCACGUAUUAUUCAUUAGCAUUUCCACACUGUUUUUGUAGUCUAUGAGAAAUAUCAGGACAAUGACUGCUGAGAUACACCCCUACGCAAACGAGAGCGAGAGAGAGAGAGAGAGAGAGAGAGCGAGAGAGAGAGAGAGAGGGGGGGGGGGAGAGGGAGGGAGGGAAUAAAGCUCCACAGAACCUCCGGUGCACUCCAGCUAUUAGUAAACAUCCUAAAGGCAGGCAGUUGUCACCAAUGCCAAGUAUCCACAACACUGUAUUAAAUAUUAAAAAACAUCAAUUAAAUAGAAUUCAACAACUUGUUAUCUGACCAAUGCAGCAGUUAUUUCAAAUGCUUUCUCUACAGAACUCUGGUGCAUUAAUGCAUCACAAUACAAUCAACAUCUAUAAAACACACAUCUGUUGUCAUCCAAAACUAAGAAAAAUAAACAGACAGUGGAAUUAUAUACUUGUGUUAAGGGCAAAGUGAACCAUCAACAUACCAAUACUGAUCACGUUGUGUUUUGCUUAUGACCAGAACAGCUUCUCGUUCAACUUAUUUAAUCAACAAUCCUUAGAACAAUUUUCUUUCUGAUCUUUGUCGUAAUAAAAAGUAGCUCAUGGUAAACAGAGUUAGACCUAGUGGUUAGCCUUGCAAUGUAAAUUAGCAGCCCAUAAGAAGUGAAACUGAGAUGCAGGAUGUGGUCAACAGAAAGGUUUGCCACAGUGACUAACCCCCCCCCCCCCCUCCCCCCACACCAAUAAAAACCACUGUAGUAAAUCAAACGUGAAAGGAUGUGAAAACUGUUGUAUUAAUACAAGCAUGUUCAUCCACCUGAACUCAUGCAAAAAAUAUGACAAAGAAUCUAUUGAUACAGAAGAAUCUUGUUCUUUUAAUGUAAGCUGGCACUAUUCUCAACAGAAGCAAGCUUUGUGAAUAGCAAACACUACAACACUUGCAAUCACUCUACAGGCAAAAAUUCUGUUUCUGUAUCAAAAUUUUAGGCCUACUGCUAUUUGUAGCCAUGCAAUGAAGCUCCUCGACUGUCACAAUGUACAUCCACGGAUGAUUUAAAUCUCAAUGUUAAAAUGGCCAGAUAUAAGUAUAAAAUUAUGGCAUGUUAACCCGCUCUAAGAUAGCAAGAAAUGUCAGAACCUUCCACAGCACCUACCAAUUAAAUUACCACUCUAGUCAAAUUUCUAACUCAGUAACUGAUAGUUUUUCAGGAUACAUACUUCUCAUACAUCAGCUACUCCACUGACAAUAUGCUGUGUACCAUCCCCCAUCUAAGAAAAAACAAAGAUCUAAAUGGAGCACCAUUAAGUGUUUAGCACACACUUUGCACCAUCACAUCAUCUUGUUGGCUCAAAAUGGUACACCUUAAAACUUACAACUCAAUUAUGUUUGCUCUGGAGCACAAAUGACAGUACCAGAAAAAUAACAACUGAGAAAAUCUUAAUAUGAAAGUAUUCCUUCAGCAUGCAUUGGCAAUAUGUUGGUGGGUCCAACAUUUUCAUUGCUAAACUGUGUUAAGCACCACAUUAUUGGAUCAAACGAAGUUCAAUGUAACUAAAGAAUAGAAACACCAGUCACUCGGUACAUUCAAACUGGGAGACCCAACACUGCAAUGUAGUUAUGGGUGCUCCCACAAGCCAGCUGGUGUGGCUGAGCAGUUCUAGGCGCUUGGUCUUGAACCGCGCAACCGCUAUGGCUGCAGGUUCGAAUCCUGCCUAGAGCUUGGAUAUGUGAGACAUCCUUAGGUUAUUUAGGUUUAAGUAGUUCUAAGUUCUAUGGGACUGAUGACCUCAGAUGUUGAGUCCCAUAGUGCUCAGAGCCAUUUGGUGCUCCCACAACAAAUACUUCAGCUAUGCUAUAUGGUCUAUUAAGAUGUUAGUCCUUGAAUAUUGAGGCUCUUUUUAUUCCUUGCUGUGCAUGUAUAUAUAGCAGCAAUUUAAAUUAUUCUCAUGUCUGAAGUUUAGAGCCAGUAUAAACUGGGACAUCUAAUAUAGCAUUAGCACCUCAUUCACCUUAUUUGUGUAUGAAAUGACUUCCUGUGUAUCAUUUAUUGCAAGCAUUUCAACAAGAAACCAACUGUUUCUAAGGUAAAUGGGAUGAAACUCAGUUCGAACCUUAUAGUCUCUUAUGGUUCAUUUUCACUUCACAUUGGUUCAUCUGUUUACAUCCCAGCCAAUCAGGCCGAUAUGGCAACUUUAACGGAUGUGGUUGUUAUCUGCAAUACCUGCCACAGUUCAUUCACUAGAUUCACAAACCUUUAUCAAAACUGAAAGCUAUACUCACUGCUUCAUUAAGUAUGAACACACUAUUUUACUAGCUCCUACCAUUACUACAUAAUUAUACAUAAUUUACCUAAUUCACCCAUUAACCCAAAUGGAUUUGUUUUAACUCGUGAAUUUUUCAUUAGCACUCCCACAUUGCUUAUGCAGUCUCUGGGAAAUAUCAGACAAUGACUGCUAAAAAGUAAUAUUCAUACACACCUACAUAAACAGUUUUCCAAUACUUAUAUCUGUUACACAUCACAGCUGUAAAAAUUUUGUACAUUAAACAUAACCAAUGCACUCACUGUUUAUUACAAUGAAGACAGAUGUCUUACCAAGGGGAAAAAUAAUUGGCAAGGUCACCAAAUACAAGAACAGAUUGGAUUACGAACUUCUUACCAUUCAUUACGAUGUUUUUACCGUUAAAAUUUUAUGAAUUUACGUUACAAUAACAACAUUUCAAAUAUCAGCCAUAAUCAGGCAUUCUUAAGAAAUGGGUGCAAACUCAGUGAGACAGAAAUGUUUCUUAGCCAAGAAAUUAUACACUACAUUAGAAAUGCAUUGGAGAAAUGAAACUCAGCACAUACAAAUCCAUGCAAAUCCAAACACAGGCUAUAGCCCAAUAUGCACAAGUUUCUACUCUUUUAAAUCCACGCUCUCUGUUCAUCAGAUAAGGCAUUAUAGUUUGCUCCAGUGAGAAAGCUUAUGGUAUAUGCUUGGAAGAUUACAAAGGUUGCCAUUAUGCAGGGAUGCACAGCAAUCUGUAAUUACAAGCCUAAUCUAUGCUCCUUUACCCCAAUGGGCAUCCACUAAUACUAAUGGCAUGCAAUAAGAUAGUAUAAGUUCUCUGUUCACAUCUGUGAAACAUCACAGUCACCAAAAGAUACCAACAUGUCAUCUAGGUGUGUGCAGUAGUGUUGCUGUUUCACACAUUAUAGCAAACCCCACCAGCAUCUUAUACCCUUCCAUCUAAUAAAGGUUUCAAGUCACUCUUACAGUUAGAGAAAUAAUGACGGAGAAGCAAUAUGCUGCCAGCUCAUAGUUCAAGUAGACUUUUCAAUUUUUUAGACCAACAUUCAACCAAUUUUUCUUAAACUACAGGAACUACAUAACACCCAUGUCAAGUCUACCAUAAUUAAUUCUUGUGUGCAAUAUUAAGCCCUCACUCAAGUUUGAAACAAACUACCAUUACUUAUCCUAAAUUCAUCAUCAUAAAAAAGAAUAUGAAUCAUGCCAAAACAGUAGGCUACCUACGACAUUGACAACCAACUUGGGCCACUUUCAUAAACUGGAAUUAAACAUAUUAUACCAUUUCACAUCCUGAGAUGUAAUUGCUAUUAUGCAGCCUUUGUUGGGUGAAUCUUACUUUAUCCAGGUUCAAAAUACUCUUGUGAAAUCAUGGGUACUGUGUUCUUGAGAGACCACAUCAUAAAUCUUGAUUACUUUUUGGAAAACAUAAGACUGACAUUGCAAAUAUCUACACAAUCCCUGAAAUAGGUUUACAGCACGAACCAAUAAGCAAUGAGCAAAACAGGUAUAACUAAUUUACACAAGCCUAAUCCCUAAGAAUAACUUAUUAGAUAACGUAUGCAUACAUUCAAAGUUUGCAAAAGAAAGAAUUUGACUGACUUACAAGCAAAAUCCAGUUCUCAAUUAAGUCAAAGUCUUGUGUCAUACCAAAGAAUAAACCACAAAUAAUGCAUGUGACAGUACUUCCAUUAAUCAGCCACAUCAAGGUACGUGGAUUAAAUACAAGGAAGCAUUGUACAAGUCACAUUCCUCACACAAAAAUUAUAUAUGGAGACAAUUCUCCCUUUUGGAUGCCACACUACUUUCAAAAUGUGUUUCAAGCAACUUAAAAUAGGAGAACAGUAAGUGUGCAUUUCUACCAUUUUUUUUAUAAAUAAAUUUUAAAAAAAUCACUACACAAAACCAGCAGUCAAUUCAGCUCCCAGAGAAUUAAUCUGGCAGUUUUGUUAGUACCAUACCUGCCACUGACUUACAGAAAUAUCAUCUCACUCUUCUUACAGUGGAGUUAACCAUUAUUUAAUAGGCUUAUACCACUAUUCAUAAAAUAUUCUCAGUUUCAGAGGAGGUCAUCACAAUCAAUACUCCUAAUGAUAGACUGGUUUAAAUUGAGAGUCAACAAGAGCUAACAAAUCACUUAUGACUAAGACCAGGAACUAAUAAUAACACAUGUAGAAAUAAAACUCAAUAUCUACCUAUAGGAUUUUAUCUGUAAAUCGAAACAGAUCCACAGAAACAAUUUAUUAUUCUUCUGUAAUACUAAUACACAUCACUCUAGCAACCAACAAAAUGGAAAUGUAAAAAUUCACGCAUCAAACAUGAAACACUAAUAAAAUACCAUGUCACAAAACUCACGCAACAUUUCGGUUAUCGUAACAGGAAAAGUAUUUUUUUUUUACUUGUGUGAAUAUAGUAAAAUGAUAAAUAAUACAUCCAAGGCAGUAGGAUAUGUCCAAUGUAAGAGUUCUAUAUGAACAGAUUCAAAAUAUAAAAUAAGAUAAGAAAUGGGUAAUGAUUAGCACUAAGCAGAAUUUCAACAUGUACCACUUCCUGAACAGCUACUUUUACCGGACAAUGUCACCACUUAUCAAAUUCAAACAAGGCAGAUAAAAUCUGUCACUAGAGAGCAUCACAUUCAGCACAACUUUUAACACAGCAGGAACACGGCACGGAAAUAUGCAAAAAAGAGUUUGUCACCUCACUCCAUAAAGAAAAUAAAUGAUUAUAAACAUGUCUAUCAGAAUAACCACUGCUCUUCACAUGACGAAAUAGACAUAUCCCAAAACUGCGUGAGUAGUUCAGGGAGGCGCUUGUUCAUCUGACCGGCAGAAACAGCUAACAGCAAAUACGGUCUUACGUCGUGACAAAGAUAAGCCACCUGUAACAUGCUACUGAAAGUAAAAAAUGUCGAAAAACUUUUGUCUUUGAAUAUACUGGAAAAAAAGUAAGCAUCUUAAGUGAGCCAGUGGAGGAAAUUAUACGUAUUUAGUGUGAACCGCCUAUACCCUCCUUGAAACCAUUCUUUACUAUUCCAGAAAUAUGUUACAACAGCCAACUUACACAUCUACAAAAAUAGAUAUCUGUGCCUUGGCACUAAAGCCAGCCAAUAGGCUAGAACUUUUGCAGCAGUCACUAUUCUCGGUGAUCUCAGAAAAUAAAUUUGCUAUUCUUUAACCAUGAAUUCAACAACUACCACUGACGUGUUCACACUAAACGGCAACUCAAACCAUAGCUCACUUUGUGCACACUGAAAAUCAAUCAUUCUGACUUUAUGAUUCCCACAGGGCCACCAACUGUUAUUUAAAUAGCUAAAUAAUUUACUUUUACACUUGGCCCACUAUCAAUCAGUAUACUGAAAAACUUAUAAUUUUUGUGGGAAUUCAAAACGAUUAAGCCUUUCAUACAGGAAAUAAAAGAACGUAUCUUUUCUCAAAAUAAUAUUUAAACUUGAAGCAACUAUCCCUCUUACUACAAAUCUUUCAGGCUACAAAAUAGAUAAUUUUUUUUUCUUCAGUUUUCAAGUUUAAAAACUCAAAUGCUCCAGGUAAUACUAGAAAAAAUCGGCAAUUCUGAAACUAAAUUAACUUUUACUUAACACUUUUCAAUCGAUUGCUGUUCUCCUGUUGUGCUGUUUCCUGCUGUUCUGUGAAGAUGGCCUACGACAGCAUCAACCCACCAGAGGACUAACACCGACAUCCACCUCGCCACACAUCACCUGAAUUUGAAUCAAACGUGUUCAUUGUGCACUUUUCCAAAAACAAAUUUGAUAAAUUAUUAAUUAUAGUUAAAAUUUUACUUCUAAAAAAAAAAAAAUACUGUAAGUACUGUAAAUCGUAGCUUGAAGCAGCAUUCCACCUUACUGAAAGCCAGUUUGAAAAGUAGUUGAACUACCACAAAGAUUGAACCAAAGUAAUAUCUCCACAAACUGGCACUAAAGACAGAAGGAACAAAAUGCUAAUAUCAAGAAUUACGACCUAUAGUAAACAGUGACCAGCGAGUAUUUGAGAGAAAUUACACGUAACAACGCGCGAACAAUCGCACGCACAAGACCAAGGUACCAGCUGGAUAUGAAUCCCAAGAAAGGAGUAAAAAAUAUUUUUUAUGCUCCAAUAGACUUUUCUGUAAACGGAAGCAAGUUAACAGGGCGACAUAUUUCCAUGUGUCACCUCGGUCUUGCCGUAACUAUAGUUUAAAAAACCAAGCAAACAUAUUUCUCAGUUAUGACCUUUCAACAAAGUUAAAACUUAUUUCGAAAAACAAAUCUAGUCACACUGUAGAUAUUGGUUGGAAAGUAUGUUUUAGGGCAAAUACUAGUAAAUCUCCAACCGCAUGACAUUUUCUCACAAAUUAAACUGUCA